rnacentral:rRNA from 1 species
GUCUACGGCCAUGCCACCCUGAACAAGCUCGAUCCCAUAUGAUCUUGGAAGCUAAGCAGGAUCAGGCCUGGUUAGUACUUGGAUGGGAGACCACCUAGGAAGACCAGGUGCUGUAGGCG